GCGGUCGUGGCGGAAUUGGCAGACGCGCUAGAUUCAGGUUCUAGUGCUCGCAAGGGCAUGGAGGUUCAAGUCCUCUCGACCGCACCA
rnacentral:tRNA from 2 species